UCUCCCACACAGUUGCUAAUAUUUGCAUAAUUCUUGGUUGCAUUUUGUGCCCCAAGUGUGGAAAUAUGCUGACUCAAACUACUCCUCUGAUUAAUUCCAGUGAAGUCCAACAAGGUCAUGCCAACGCUCUCUCUAAAAAGAUCCAGGGUUUCCUUCCGCUGGCAGCACUUCCCUCUGGAUGAUUAGAGGGGGUGGUGAGAGCAGAGAGCCCAGCACCUGUUCAGGCUUUGAGACAAGUGUUGCUCAGAGACACCGCUCGACUGUCCCUUGUUUUACGGGAUGUCGCUUGUUUGGUUUUUUGUCAAAUUACUCCAUGCAAAUUUGGUGUGUUCUCACGCUUAGCACUGAAAGUUAUUUGCGUUUGCCCUGUAGAAUCAUGAGACUGCUGGAGGUGGCAAUAGCUCCUUCUGUAAAGGAAGGUAUCCCUGCGGCGCUUUGAGGGUCCUGCAUGGAUACAUUUUCAUGUCUCUCUCAUUGGGUCUGUCAUUCACUUGUCCCACAUUUGCUUACACACAAGCAAGUUACCCUGCCAAGAGGACCAGCAGCACGACACCUCCCUAACCUGCUAUUUAUCCUUUACUUCAUUGUGUGUGACCAAUUCAUUUUUAAAAAAGCUUGAUGCUAACUUUCAUAGUCACAAAGCUACCCCAAGUAACUGGAGCUAUUUUAAAACAAGGGAAAUUGUGGUGUGUUUUUCUGAAUAUAUAGCUUUACAUGAUUGUGUGAAAAUGGAACAUCUUUACCAUAAUGUAUUCAAAAACAGGAGGAGGACAAUAGUUAACUGGUGGCCAGAUGCCAGAGAUCCCCUAAUCUGCUCUAAUUCAUGAGUUCAGCCCAUAGCCCACUGUUUCUGCCGGAGAAUCUCCGCUCUUCUGAUUUGGAAGCAGCAGCCGUCAGCCUCGUGCUUUACCUACAUGUUUCAAAACCACCAAAAAGUCAAACUCUGUUCUUUACAUCUUACAAUACCUAGCAGGGUUUACCCAGUGAUGGCUCCAUAAAGCGCCCUACGCGCCAGGGAUAGACAUAGGAGCAAUAGAAUGACCCUAACUCUCCCUUAAUUUCAAUAUCCAGAAAAUCUUCUCCAGGGAGAGAGAAUAGCCUAGGAACUAGUCUCCUCCUGCUUGUCGAGAAGAUCAGCCCCUCAAGCCUCACCCAGUAUCCUGGAGAGACCACACAGCUUCCGCAGGUCUCACUGCUCCCCACACCUACAGAGGCCACUACACAAGUUAAAGGCUGACUUAGUGCAGUCGGUUGUACAGUUGGGGGUGUAGACAGCCAGAGGACAGACUGAUAGCACAGGGCAGUUGGCACUGAGAUUUUGAGUCACUUGCAUUAGGGAAGCUCUUACAUGAUUCCAAACGGAGAUCAGGGCCCUAUUGUGCUUGGCACCGUACGGACAUAAUGGAAAGGCAGGUCCUGGCCCAAACAGCUUAUUUAGAAUCCAGCCUGCGUCAGCACUGACCAGAAGUCGUCGUCAGCAGUCUCUGAGCAAUGAGCUAACGAGAUCAGGUUGGUUCCUGAUGCAUGGAUGUCCACAAGAGUUAGUCUCUGGGACCCCAGAGGGGCAGGACAGAGCAGGGGGACUGUCGCUUUACCAUGUGCUUGGAUUAGGGUGGCUGCCGAUUUAAAGCUUUACGGCACUCCCAGCCACUCAUGGUAAACUGACCUGUGGGUGCAUACUAUACUGUAUUCAAGAGGGCAGCUGAGUUUAGCCUGCUCCUGCAGCAGUGCUGGGAAGGCCUAUAGUUCAUUGCCAGUGUUGCCUUCUUUCACGCCCUAUAAACAAGCCUGCACAUCAGCUUAUUCCCUUCUCAUCCCGACCCCUUGUUGUCGGACUCCUUGCCAUGGAGACAAGUCUGAAAUGGAAGGGAGUGAAGGGGCAGUAGUUUUUGUUCUGCAAACAAGUUGUGGGUGGGUGUAAAAUAUAUAUAAAAAGGCUCAGGGAACCUUCCCACAUUUUCAUCAGAAGGUAUUUUGCUCACCCCCUCAUCUGCCCCAUACCAAAUCUCCCCCCAUCCUUUUUAAUUCUUAAAAAGACAACCUUUCAACCUGCCUUAUGAUGUUAACAAAGCAGUAUUGGCAUACUCAGCUCUCAAGCGACCCUCCAGAAUCAAAGAACAACCUUGCAGACCAACUCUGUUACAGCAGCAAACUGGUAUGGGAGCAGAUUUCAAUGCUAAACUUCUAGAUGAAGCCUGUAAAAGAUAACUUCUCAUUGGUAAAUGUGCUGAUCAAUGGUAGCACGAUACUCUGAUGCAGAGAAAAAAAGUUUACUUCCAGACUCCACAGCUGCAACCCCCUGCCUUGUGUGGGAUAUGCCUCAUCUUUAUUACCCUGUUGGUUUUCACCCCAACAGCAGAGAGCACAUGGGUCCCUGUCUGAGCCUUGUUGCACAGUUAAGCAUAUUCACAUGAUACCUGAUGUAAAGAAUCUCGAAGCAGGAUUAUCUUACCUCACCCUGUUCACACAAGCCCAGGUAGCUUCCCUGGGCUAUGCAAGCGGCAGGGCCAGUGCGUCACGCUAGCAGUAGGGGCUCUCCAGCGUGUCUGCUGGCUUGACCUUCGUAUUGGCAAAGGUCACCUUUACCAAGCAGCAAAGCUUUACAGGCUGCAGAAUAUAGAGUUCUCCCUUUGUUACUGUUCCUAAAAAUGGCUGACCUCCUCCUGAGCACCUCCAAAGCUCACAUGCUAAUAUAAGGGACCUGGUGGAGAAGUAAAGGCUACCUAAGCACCAUAUAGAAACUAAGUCCUUUCAGGUGGGCUUAAGAAAAGGCUCUUUCCUCUUUUUCUAACCAAUCUAAGUCAACAUAGGGCUGACGUACAAAUGAAUGUUAACUUGUACAGAGCACUCUCCAUGCAAUCUCUAUACGCUAAUUCGGGAGUGGUCUGCAUGAGUCCAUUAGACGCAGCAUUGGGGGUAGAAGGGGUAGGGAGAGAUGGGUGGCUGGACACAUGUUAAACAUGUAAGAGAAAUGGGGAAGAAUACUUGGGGCCAGGUUCUGCACUUAGUUACACCAGUGUAAAUCCUGAAUGCCUCAGGAGUCAUACUGGUGUAAGAGCAGAAUCUGACCAGCCCUUUGUUUCCACACACACAGAUGAGACACUGACAAAGAUGUAGGUAGUUUUAUUAUAAACAGUAUUUAAUUCAAAUUGUACAGGGUGACAGAUGACCGACUGGACUGAUAUGUGAAAUCGGAACAAUAUUAAAAAAAAAAAAACCACAAAUGCAGUAGGUGCUUAACACACACACACACACACACACACACACACACCUGCCACUUUCUCCAAAACCUCCCCACCCCAUUGCAAUUCCUCAAAACAUAGCCACUACACACUCAGAUAGCAAAAGACCAGAUGUACAACUGCUGGUUAU